rnacentral:rRNA from 1 species
CGCGUGGGAAGUCUGCCCUUCGGUUCGGAACAACGAGUUAGAAAUGACUGCUAAUACCGGAUAAUGACGUAAGUCCAAAGAUUUAUCGCCGAAGGAUGAGCCCGCGUAGGAUUAGCUAGUUGGUAAGGUAAAAGCUUACCAAGGCGACGAUCCUUAGCUGGUCUGAGAGGGAUGAUCAGCCACACUGGGACUGAGACACGGCCCAGACUCCUACGGGAGGCAGCAGUGGGGAAUAUUGGACAAUGGGCGAAAGCCUGAUCCAGCAAUGCCGCGUGAGUGAUGAAGGCCUUAGGGUUGUAA